rnacentral:rRNA from 1 species
ACCAGCAGCCAUAUAACCCUGCAACUCACAACUGGCAACCCACUGAGGCUAAGUGGGUGUGAGCUUGGUCAGUACCUGGAUAGGAGACCUCCUGGGAAAAACUAAGGUUGCUGCUGGAA